UAGUGACAGACCCUUCUUCAUAAAAAAGAAAACAAAUGCACAUGAGAAGGAGCUAUCAUUCUCUCAGUCCAAAAACGGCCCCAAACUAGCCCCAAAAUGGUUGUAUUACUGCUGAAAAUCAGCCACAUAAACUAUCCAUUAAAUCGCCUUAUGUCCGGUGUAAAAAUCAGCACAAUACUUGGAGUAGAAUAGGUUGAAAAAAUCCAAACAGGCCAUGAAACAACUUUGUUUAAUUUUCUACCCACGACAGUAGUCGAGUGAGUCCGGGAAUCAGAGGUUCCAUUGGAGGUCACCUUUGAGGUUCUGGUGUUUCUGCGUCUCUGUUUGAGUUUGGAGUCUAUUUAGCAUCAAUUUCAUCUGUAUUAAUUUUAUUGGAGAUGCUUGAUAAUAAAGGAGAGAUUUUGUGACUAAAGGUACAAUCUUCUAUCUUAAAUCUUUGGGGGGCAGGGACAAAAGAAAAACAGAAAGAAAAAGAGUGGAAUAAAAUGGGUGAGAACAAAAAAAAAGAGAAUGAGAGAUCUGGGAAAGAAACGAGAAUAGAGAGAGGGAGUGACGAAGAGGGCAGAGGGUCAAGCAUUUAGCUCCUAGGGAAUUUGCUCAUCCAUGGGAACACCUCUAACUCCUCCCCUCAUUCAAAACCAAAAAAAAAAGCUAAGGCCUCACCCCCAAACACAAUAUAGAGUACUACCGUUAGCCAGCUCUUUGAAGUAAAAAAUCAGUCCAACUCCAGCAGCCUUUAGCUGCAAAAACCACCACAAAAUUAGCCCAGAAAUGUCCCCUUUCAACCACCAAAACACAGCACUUUUCUCUGCUGAAAAAUAGCCCGAAACUCCAUGAAAACUAGCCAAAAACUCCGGCAAAACGCCCCCCAAACUUCAGCUGAAAAAGCAGCCUGAAAGCAGUCCAAAAAUGACCCCAAACUAGCCCCAAAACGGUUGUAUUACUGCUGAAAAUCAGCCAUAUAAACUAUCCAUUAAAUCGCCUUAUGUCCGGUGUAAAAAUCAGCACAAUACUGGGAGUAGAAUAGGUUGAAAAAAUCCAAUCAGGCUAUGAAACAACUUUGUUUAAUUUUCUACCCACGACAGUAGUCAAGUGAGUCCAAGAAUCAGAGGUUCCAUUGGAGGUCGCCUUUGAGGUUCCGGUGUUGUUACAUCUCUGUUUGAGUUUGGAGUCUAUUCGGCGUCAAUUUCAUCUAUAUUAAUUUCAUUGGAGAUGCUUGCUAAUAAAGGAGAGAUUUUGUGACUAAAGAUUCAGGCGUAUCUGGUCCCGCUCCUGAGUGUUGAUCUUUCCAGUACAGGCAGAUCCGAAGAUUCUCUAGGUAGCUGCCGGCGUUCGUAGCCUAGAGCUUCUUUCCUAUCUUAUUUCUCCUUGUUUUAGUUUUUGCAUUAAACUCAAUAGACUUUUCUGAGUAUUCCAGAUUUUUAGAUGCUCAUGACUAGUGACAUCCCGGUAUCGGGCUGUGUUGGUUUUGUAUUUCUGUGAACUUGUAUUAUUCACCGUACUUUGGGGUUUUAUUAUGUUAAAUGACUUAAUUCUUA